rnacentral:rRNA from 1 species
GAUGAACGCUAGCUACAGGCUUAACACAUGCAAGUCGAGGGGUAACGAGAGGGAAGCUUGCUUUCCUUGUCGACGACCGGCGCACGGGUGAGUAACGCGUAUCCAACCUGCCCCCAACUAGGGAAUAACCUUGCGAAAGUAAGACUAAUACCCUAUAAUUUCCUCAGAUGACAUCUGACGAGGAAUAAAGAUUUAUCGGUUGUGGAUGGGGAUGCGUCUGAUUAGCUUGUUGGCGGGGUAACGGCCCACCAAGGCAACGAUCAGUAGGGGUUCUGAGAGGAAGGUCCCCCACAUUGGGACUGAGACACGGUCCAAACUCCUACGGGAGGCAGCAGUGAGGAAUAUUGGUCAAUGGGCGGAAGCCUGAACCAGCCAAGUAGCGUGCGGGAUGACGGCCCUAUGGGUUGUAAACUGCUUUUAUACAGGAAUAAAGUUAGCCACGUGUGGUUAUUUGUAGGUACUGUAUGAAUAAGGACCGGCUAAUUCCGUGCCAGCAGCCGCAGUAA